rnacentral:ncRNA from 1 species
CAGCGAGGACGACCUCCCCCAUUCGGGCAGAAACUCCGGGACGGCCCGG